AGCUUGCUCUUAUGAAGUUAGCGGCGGACGGGUGAGUAACACGUGGGUAACCUACCCAUAAGACUGGGAUAACUCCGGGAAACCGGGGCUAAUACCGGAUAAUAUUUUGAACUGCAUAGUUCGAAAUUGAAAGGCGGCUUCGGCUGUCACUUAUGGAUGGACCCGCGUCGCAUUAGCUAGUUGGUGAGGUAACGGCUCACCAAGGCGACGAUGCGUAGCCGACCUGAGAGGGUGAUCGGCCACACUGGGACUGAGACACGGCCCAGACUCCUACGGGAGGCAGCAGUAGGGAAUCUUCCGCAAUGGACGAAAGUCUGACGGAGCAACGCCGCGUGAGUGAUGAAGGCUUUCGGGUCGUAAAACUCUGUUGUUAGGGAAGAACAAGUGCUAGUUGAAUAAGCUGGCACCUUGACGGUACCUAACCAGAAAGCCACGGCUAACUACGUGCCAGCAGCCGCGGUAAUACGUAGGUGGCAAGCGUUAUCCGGAAUUAUUGGGCGUAAAGCGCGCGCAGGUGGUUUCUUAAGUCUGAUGUGAAAGCCCACGGCUCAACCGUGGAGGGUCAUUGGAAACUGGGAGACUUGAGUGCAGAAGAGGAAAGUGGAAUUCCAUGUGUAGCGGUGAAAUGCGUAGAGAUAUGGAGGAACACCAGUGGCGAAGGCGACUUUCUGGUCUGUAACUGACACUGA
rnacentral:rRNA from 1 species